rnacentral:rRNA from 1 species
GACAGAGGUGCCGAGCGUUAGGCGGAAUCACUGGGCUUAAAGCGUGUGUAGGCGGGCCGUUAAGUGUCUUGUGAAAUCCCCCGGCUCAACCGGGGAAUUGCUGGGCAUACUGGCGGUCUUGAGCUUUCUAGGGGCGAGUGGAACAAAUGGUGGAGCGGUGAAAUGCGUAGAUAUCAUUUGGAACGCCAAUGGUGAAAACAACUCGCUGGGGAAAUGCUGACGCUGAGACACGAAAGCCAGGGGAGCGAACGGG